rnacentral:lncRNA from 1 species
CCAGCAAAGAGAGAGACCCUCAAGCCUCUUACAAAUUAACAACUUGAGCUAUCCAGCAUUUAUUCCUGUAUGCGGUAUAUAUAGCCUUUUUCUUAAAUCCUCUUGUGCUACAGCUGCACAUUUUGCCAUUCAGAAAGAUGCUGUGUAACGCUGCUUUCCAUUUUAAUUAUUUCAAUUAUUUUAGAGUCGUAUCAGCAAGAUUCAAGACACGUUUAGAUGAGGCUUCUCAUUGUGAGCAGCACAGAGUAUUUAAUGGGAACUCCAUCGGCACAGUAAACAAACACCCUGACCUUGAAAAUUUCCAAAGCCAAUGGAUACAAGUCUGAAAACAAAUAUUUAUGUAGAUGAAAAUUUACUGCACUUGGUUUUACCAGCCUGAGUUACCCACAUUUCAAUUUCCCUAUAUAUGCUCAGAAUCUGUGCUUUGUGACAGAAAGGAGAGUGGUGGAUAUUGUUGCCAUGGAAACAAUAACAUCUUUCUUCUGCUCCAAAAAUGCUGUCUAUUAGAGACCAAUAUUUAUAUUUUUAUGAGACACUUUGGUUUGGCCUUGCAUCAGCUACGCUGCUGUUGGAGAUACAUACAGGAAUACUCCAAUAUCUUCCUCUGUUUCAUUUCCAGAGUUUUCGAAUUAGAAGAUAAUUUGUUCUCCUCUUGUGUUUCAAGAGUACAUCAUAGAUAUCCAAGCCAAAAUGCAACACAAUCAUGAUAGAAGUUACUUGUAUCCAGGCUCUGGAGCAUCGCUGUGUCUCAAUCUCUGUACUCCAGCACCUGCUGCACACCUGGCUGCCUUUAUUCAUUCAACCUGCUAUACACUUGACCUGAUUCAAAGAUGGCAUCCCACACCUUUCCAAAGGCUUACCUGUGGCUGUGCAUCAUCUCUCAAUCGGCUCCAGUGAGAAGACAACGUCAAGUGGAGGACAUGGGAAAAAACUCCAGAAGUAAAACGUUCACUCCGUGAGUUUGCCUGACAUCAAAUGAGGGGUAUAUACCUUCCUCAGCUCCCUGUGUGGCAUCAUCAAUAAAUGAAUAAAGUCUUGUCCA